GGUGAGCUUGGCAACCAGGCACUGACGUCCUGUCCAGGGCAGGUACUGAGUCUUAGUAAACAGGCCACUAACGAUGCACCACCAGGGUCAACGGAACCAACCCAGUGGCUAAAAGACUCCAGGAAUCCCAGAAGUCAAACAGGCAGAGAGGAUUCCUCUCCGCCUGGGUCCUGAACUGUGGAUGAUGGAGCUCGAAGGGUCCACAGCCCUCAGCUUCCAGUGUAACCUGUGCUCUGUCCAGAUUGCACACAGUUCCUUCCUCUGGGGGUGGGAGGGGCUGUCGUCAGUCUCUUCGGCUCAGCUCUGCCACCAGCCCAGUCAUGUGUCCUUGGGCAGGUCCCUCCCUUCCCUGGACCUCGGCUGUGGGGGUCCCUUCUCACGACAGCUCAAGCCCGACCUCUCAACCUGGAUUCCAUUCCCAGUGCCCGCGCUGCUGGGCACAGUUCAGAGUAGGGGCUGGAGCAGGACAGGGGCUGCCCUGGUUUCAAUCCAGGUGAGUCACAAAGUGCUUCACAAGCUUUCCCAUUUGGGUCCUGGCCUCAGACACAGAAACCAAUCAGUGUUCACCCCUGCCUCUCUGCUCUUGGGUGAGGACCACCCUGGGCCUGUGACAGUAUUUUUCAGCAAGGGUACGUGGUGGGACAUUGGGUGUUAGCAAAGUUGAGUGAGACGCUCUAGAACCAGCCCCCUGGCCCUUUCCUGACCUGUCUACCAUGUGGGGUGAGAGCCGGGGAGCAGACGCAGGAAAGGACUCUCAGGAAGAAUGCUGACACUUUACUUCCAGGUCAGCCGUGCGGAAUGGCCCCGCCUCAUUCACAGUGCCCAUCCACAACCCCCCUCCCGCCCAGUCCUCUGCCUGACAGGUGUCCAGGGGACAUGGCCAGUCUCACUUGGACCAUUUCCCCCACCCCAGAAAAUUACAGGUUGGGAGAGGCUGAUACUUGGUGGGAGGCUGUGAAUUAGAGGAGUGAAAUUACGACUACAGACUGCUACAAGCAAGCCCGGGCCCCGCCGCUUACCUCUGACCCUGACGAAGAGUCUUAGUCUCUCAACGUUGGUUUCCUGCUUUGUAAAAUGGGCCUUUUUCUAGGCUCUGGUGGCAGUGGGGACAUGGAUUCAUACCUCAGAAUUAUGAGAAUUAGGUGAGUUAGUACAGAGGAAGCAUUUGACACAGUGCACAGGAUGGAUGUCUGAUUUCGCCCCAUUACCCUGCCUCUGUCCUGCACCUUCAGUGCUCUAGGGUGGCCCUCAUUCCCGGUUCCAUCCUCAGGACCCCUGAGAUACCUUCAGACACAGCCUCGAAAUGGUCUUACUGGCUUUGCAUCAGCCUCCGUUCUCCCAGCUACCGACUAUUAUCUUUCACCCUUUCAUACUUCACAGACCAACAUGUGGAAGUGUUUGGGGUUGUGCAGACCCAGUCCUGCUUGCAGUUUGGGAGUUUUCCCCUCCUAAGGUAACAGGGCCUCAGUCCUAGUAACACCCUUUACCCAAUGCCCCCUUCCUCUGCCCAGUGCCCAAGUCCUAUAAACAGGUUACCCAGAGAACCAGGAGCUGAUCCACAAGAAGAACCCAGGGUCCGGUCUCCCAGCCCCCAUAUUCCAAGUCCAUUUAACUCCGCAGACCUGUCCUGCCUCGAUGCCCUGAGUUUUAGGAAUGGGUCAUUCCCACGCUGAGGGAGCAGCAAGGGUCAAGGAUUCCUUCUCCCAGGCCACUGCAGUGGGUCGGGGUAAGAAAAAGUUACCCUUAACCUCUCUCCCUCUUAGACAUCAGUGGGUUCUUCAGACAGGAGAAGCAGGAGCCAGAUGAGACGGCACUAGGAGGGAGAGAUGAAGACGGGACGGUUGGGCACAGGAGGCACCAAGAGGUCACAUCCUCGGAGGAGGCUUUCCUGACCCCAGGCAAGUAGAUCCCCUGAUGGUGACCCAGGGCCUCCUCACCCAUCCUCCAAGGCCCUGCAGUAGAAGCCUUUACAGCUGAUCUAAGGUGGCACUAAUCUGGGCAAGUCUGCUUAUAUAAAUAGGACAUCACAGCUCAGAGCUGAGUCAAUGAGGGUAGUGAAGUCCCAUUUCCAGUCCAAUCCCAGAGAUUCUAAUUCGAUAGGAAACUGGGGUCCAGGAAUAUGCAUUUUCAAAAGCUCCCCUGAUGAUUCUGAUGCCGGUGGACCAAAGAAACACUGCCUGAGGUUACAAAAGACUGGGAUUUCACCUUGCUGAUAUGUUCUCUCUGGCUCUUACUCUGAUGAACGGGGCUGCCUCUGACCUACAAUCAGCCAGUGAAUGAAGUCCUCAGUCUGACCACCUAGAGGUGAUGAAUCCUGUUGACAGUCACUGGGUGUGCCCGGAAGUAAGUCCUUCCUGCUGGAACCUUGAGAUGAGACGCCCUCGCUAACACUGUGCUGUAGCCUUGGGAGGGACCCUGAAAACUCAGCAGACAACUCAACUUAGUUGUGCCGAUUCCUGGACCAUAGAAACUGAGAUAAUAAAUGUGUGUUGUUUUAAGCCA